UCAGAAGCCCUGGAGUCUGAUUCUGGAGCCGUUAAACCCCAGCUCAAGCUUAAGAUCAAACUAGGGGGACAGACCCUAGGAACAAAAAGUGUUCCAACAUUCACUGUGGUUCCUGAGGUGAACCGGUCUCUCUCUCCGUUAAUGAUAUUGGAUGAUGAAGAGGAACCAACAGAAGGAGUCCCCAUUGAGCAGUAUAGGGCCUGGCUUGAUGAAGACAGCAAUCUUGACCCCUCACCAUUAGCUGAACUGGACUCUCAGAGUCUCCUGGUGUGCCCAGAGGAUGAGGAGGAG